GAUGAACGCUGGCGGCGUGCCCAAUACAUGCAAGUCGAGCGAACAGACGAGGAGCUUGCUCCUCUGACGUUAGCGGCGGACGGGUGAGUAACACGUGGAUAACCUACCUAUAAGACUGGGAUAACUUCGGGAAACCGGAGCUAAUACCGGAUAAUAUAUUGAACCGCAUGGUUCAAUAGUGAAAGACGGUUUUGCUGUCACUUAUAGAUGGAUCCGCGCCGCAUUAGCUAGUUGGUAAGGUAACGGCUUACCAAGGCAACGAUGCGUAGCCGACCUGAGAGGGUGAUCGGCCACACUGGAACUGAGACACGGUCCAGACUCCUACGGGAGGCAGCAGUAGGGAAUCUUCCGCAAAGGGCGAAAGCCUGACGGAGCAACGCCGCGUGAGUGAUGAAGGUCUUCGGAUCGUAAAACUCUGUUAUUAGGGAAGAACAAAUGUGUAAGUAACUAUGCACGUCUUGACGGUACAUAAUCAGAAAGCCACGGCUAACUACGUG
rnacentral:rRNA from 1 species